GGGUUGUGAGGUUAAGCGAACAAGCGUACACGGUGGAUGCCCUGGCAGUCAGAGGCGAUGAAGGACGUGCUAAUCUGCGAAAAGCGCCGGUAAGGUGAUAUGAACCGUUAUAACCGGCGAUGUCCGAAUGGGGAAACCCGGUGCACUUCGGUGCAUCAUCGUUAGCUGAAUACAUAGGCUAACGAGGCGAACCGGGGGAACUGAAACAUCUAAGUACCCCGAGGAAAAGAAAUCAACCGAGAUUCCCCCAGUAGCGGCGAGCGAACGGGGAACAGCCCAGAGCCUGAAUCAGCUUGUGUGUCAGUGGAACGGUCUGGAAAGGCCGGCGAUACAGGGUGACAGCCCCGUACACGAAGGCACACAGGCUGUGAGCUCGAUGAGUAGGGCGGGACACGUGAUAUCCUGUCUGAAGAUGGGGGGACCAUCCUCCAAGGCUAAAUACUCCUGACUGACCGAUAGUGAACCAGUACCGUGAGGGAAAGGCGAAAAGAACCCCGGCGAGGGGAGUGAAACAGAACCUGAAACCGUGUACGUACAAGCAGUGGGAGCCUUCGUAAGAGGGUGACUGCGUACCUUUUGUAUAAUGGGUCAGCGACUUAUAUUCUGUAGCAAGGUUAACCGUAUAGGGGAGCCGAAGGGAAACCGAGUCUUAACCGGGCGUUAAGUUGCAGGGUAUAGACCCGAAACCCGGUGAUCUAGCCAUGGGCAGGUUGAAGGUUGGGUAACACUAACUGGAGGACCGAACCGACUAAUGUUGAAAAAUUAGCGGAUGACCUGUGGCUGGGGGUGAAAGGCCAAUCAAACCGGGAGAUAGCUGGUUCUCCCCGAAAGCUAUUUAGGUAGCGCCUCGUGAAUUCAUCUCCGGGGGUAGAGCACUGUUUCGGCUAGGGGGCCAUCCCGGCUUACCAACCCGAUGCAAACUGCGAAUACCGGAGAAUGUUAUCACGGGAGACACACGGCGGGUGCUAACGUCCGUCGUGAAGAGGGAAACAACCCAGACCGCCAGCUAAGGUCCCAAAGUCAUGGUUAAGUGGGAAACGAUGUGGGAAGGCCCAGACAGCCAGGAUGUUGGCUUAGAAGCAGCCAUCAUUUAAAGAAAGCGUAAUAGCUCACUGGUCGAGUCGGCCUGCGCGGAAGAUGUAACGGGGCUAAACCAUGCACCGAAGCUGCGGCAGCGACACUAUGUGUUGUUGGGUAGGGGAGCGUUCUGUAAGCCUGNNNNNNNNNNNNNNNNNNNNNNNNNNNNNNNNNNNNNNNNNNNNNAGGCUGAGGCGUGAUGACGAGGCACCACGGUGCUGAAGUGACAAAUGCCCUGCUUCCAGGAAAAGCCUCUAAGCAUCAGGUAACAUUAAAUCGUACCCCAAACCGACACAGGUGGUCAGGUAGAGAAUACCAAGGCGCUUGAGAGAACUCGGGUGAAGGAACUAGGCAAAAUGGUGCCGUAACUUCGGGAGAAGGCACGCUGACAUGUAGGUGAAGCCCCUGCGGGUGGAGCUGAAGUCAGUCGAAGAUACCAGCUGGCUGCAACUGUUUAUUAAAAACACAGCACUGUGCAAACACGAAAGUGGACGUAUACGGUGUGACGCCUGCCCGGUGCCGGAAGGUUAAUUGAUGGGGUUAUCGCAAGAGAAGCUCCUGAUCGAAGCCCCGGUAAACGGCGGCCGUAACUAUAACGGUCCUAAGGUAGCGAAAUUCCUUGUCGGGUAAGUUCCGACCUGCACGAAUGGCGUAAUGAUGGCCAGGCUGUCUCCACCCGAGACUCAGUGAAAUUGAACUCGCUGUGAAGAUGCAGUGUACCCGCGGCAAGACGGAAAGACCCCGUGAACCUUUACUACAGCUUGACACUGAACAUUGAGCCUUGAUGUGUAGGAUAGGUGGGAGGCUUUGAAGCGUGGACGCCAGUCUGCGUGGAGCCGACCUUGAAAUACCACCCUUUAAUGUUUGAUGUUCUAACCUGGCGCCGUGAUCCGGCGUGGGGACAGUGUCUGGUGGGUAGUUUGACUGGGGCGGUCUCCUCCCAAAGUGUAACGGAGGAGCACGAAGGUCAGCUAAUCCUGGUCGGACAUCAGGAGGUUAGUGCAAUGGCAUAAGCUGGCUUGACUGCGAGAGUGACGGCUCGAGCAGGUGCGAAAGCAGGUCAUAGUGAUCCGGUGGUUCUGUAUGGAAGGGCCAUCGCUCAACGGAUAAAAGGUACUCCGGGGAUAACAGGCUGAUACCGCCCAAGAGUUCAUAUCGACGGCGGUGUUUGGCACCUCGAUGUCGGCUCAUCACAUCCUGGGGCUGAAGUAGGUCCCAAGGGUAUGGCUGUUCGCCAUUUAAAGUGGUACGCGAGCUGGGUUUAGAACGUCGUGAGACAGUUCGGUCCCUAUCUGCCGUGGGCGCUGGAGAAUUGAGGGGGGCUGCUCCCAGUACGAGAGGACCGGAGUGGACGCAUCACUGGUGUUCGGGUUGUCAUGCCAAUGGCACUGCCCGGUAGCUAAAUGCGGAAGAGAUAAGUGCUGAAAGCAUCUAAGCACGAAACUUGCCCCGAGAUGAGUUCUCCCUGAGACUGUAAGUCUCCUGAAGGAACGUUGAAGACGACGACGUUGAUAGGCCGGGUGUGUAAGCGCAGCGAUGCG
rnacentral:rRNA from 1 species